AUGGAUCAUACUCAACCCAGGGAUGGGCAUGGCAAUGAACCUGUGCCUUUAGGUCAGAUGCUUUUUGAGCAUUCGGGUAGUGAUGCGCCCCUUAGACUUGGUCCUCCAGGCUUUGGGAGUAUGGCAAGUAGAUCGAAUGACGUUCCAUCUUCAAGUCAUGCUACACAGUUUCCAGGUCAUAGAGUUUUGAACGUAGGGACCUCACAUGUUUCCUUUGUUCCCUAUCGCACUGCAAUAUCCAGCAGCCAUGUACCAUAUGAUGCUCAGCCGAAACCUGCCCUAAGUUCCCAUGUGGACAACAGAAUGGUUGCAAUGAAGCGAAAGAGCCUCCUUCCUUCAGUGGAGGGAAUGGACGCUGUUGACUAUUAUGUCGGCAGCUCCUCCAACAGUCACUUCUCUGAUUUUGUGCAGCCAAAUCCUAGUGCACUUACCGAGCCCUUGCAUCCGCAAAUGCCUUUAAACAUUGGUCCAAGCAACUGGAUUGACCAACGCUUAGUUAAUCAAGAAGGAUCUCAGAGGAAUGUCAGAGCGCGCCAUGAUAGUGCUAAUAUUUCAUUGGAACCUAGGCCAGCUUCAACUUACACACCAAGUAACAAUCAUCAGCUGCCGUUCCAUUCAACCACAAGUGCUUUUGCAAGUACGUCAGCAGGAAGGAACCAAGCACCUUUUCCUGUGCCAACAAGAACAUUACCUUCAGGUGGCACUGGGAUCACUGAUAGGAUCUACCAUCAUCCUAUGCAUAGCAGCAGCUCAAGUGUUGCUGCUGCCCCAACUGUCCAUGGUUCUUCAGACAGUGCGAUGUUUGCCAAUGCUGGCUUUCCUGCUCCUAGAGCUGUUCAUGGCUCAAGUGCUGCUGCUGCCCCAACUGUCCAUGGAUCUUCAGACAGUGCGGUAUUUGCUAAUGGUGGCUUUACUGCUCCUAGAGCUGUUCAUGGUGGCGCCGUUCCUAGCUACGGCCAUCCAUCCUACACAGUUUCCUCUGGCUCAAGAGCAAUUUCGCAUGAUGCAGUCAUUCCGAGCUAUCCAGCUGCUACCUCUACAUCCAUGAGGAUCAUCAAUCUGCCAUCUCCUAUCAGUAACGCUGCAUCUUCUAGGCAUGCAAGGGUAUCCAUGGUGCAUGCCAACAGUGGAAGGAAUAGAUUUGUAGAUAGGAGCUCAUUCCAUUUGAUUGCUGAGACACAGCGGGUUAUGAUGGAGCAGUUGGCUUUCUAUCAACAAUCAAGACAAGCAGCUGCUGACCCCCACAGGGACUUGAGACUGAACAUUGAUGAGAUGAGUUACGAGGAACUGUUGGCCUUGGAGGAAUCCAUAGGUACUGUGAACACCGGCCUUGCCGACGAAAAGAUUUCAGGUUGUGUGAAAGAAGUGGUCUGUUGCAGUUCGGAUGAGGCACAAGACGACGAAGAUGAUGGGCGCUGUCUAGUCUGCCUGGAGGAGUACAAAGACAAUGAACUCCUGGGAAUUCUGAAGUGCAGGCACGACUUCCACACUGACUGCAUCAAGAAGUGGUUGCAGGUGAAGAACGCAUGCCCGGUGUGCAAAUCCGCCGCGGCUUAG
rnacentral:rRNA from 1 species